rnacentral:rRNA from 1 species
GUCGAACGAAGCACUUGAAUGGAAUUCUUCGGAAGGGAGCUCAAGUGACUGAGUGGCGGACGGGUGAGUAACGCGUGGGUAACCUGCCUCAUACAGGGGGAUAACAGUUAGAAAUGACUGCUAAUACCGCAUAAGCACACGUGAUCGCAUGAUCGAGUGUGAAAAACUCCGGUGGUAUGAGAUGGACCCGCGUCUGAUUAGCUAGUUGGUGGGGUAAUGGCCCACCAAGGCGACGAUCAGUAGCCGGCCUGAGAGGGUGAACGGCCACAUUGGGACUGAGACACGGCCCAAACUCCUACGGGAGGCAGCAGUGGGGAAUAUUGCACAAUGGGGGAAACCCUGAUGCAGCGACGCCGCGUGAAGGAUGAAGUAUUUCGGUAUGUAAACUUCUAUCAGCAGGGAAGAAAAUGACGGUACCUGACUAAGAAGCCCCGGCUAACUACGUGCCAGCAGCCGCGGUAAUACGUAGGGGGCAAGCGUUAUCCGGAUUUACUGGGUGUAAAGGGAGCGUAGACGGCAGUGCAAGUCUGAAGUGAAAGCCCGGGGCUCAACCCCGGGACUGCUUUGGAAACUGUGCAGCUAGAGUGUCGGAGAGGCAAGCGGAAUUCCUAGUGUAGCGGUGAAAUGCGUAGAUAUUAGGAGGAACACCAGUGGCGAAGGC